GAAACCGACAUAGGUAGGUAGGUAGAGUAUACCAAGGGGCGCGAGAUAACUCUCUCUAAGGAACUCGGCAAAAUUACCUCGUAACUUCGGAAGAAGAGGUACCCCCAAAAGGGGUUGCAAUAAAUAGACCCUGGCGACUGUUUACCAAAAACACAGGUCUCCGCUAAUUCGUAAGAUUAAGUAUGGGGGCUGACGCCUGCCCAGUGCCGGAAGGUUAAGGAAGUUGGUUAGUCUUAGACGAAGCUGGCGACCGAAGCCCCGGUGAACGGCGGCCGUAACGAUAACGGUCCUAAGGUAGCGAAAUUCCUUGUCGGGUAAGUUCCGACCCGCACGAAAGGCGUAACGAUCAGGGUGCUGUCUCGGAGAGAGGCUCAGCGAAAUAGACAUGUCUGUGAAGAUGCGGACUACCUGCACCUGGACAGAAAGACCCUAUGAAGCUUUACUGUAUCUUGGAAUUGGGUUUGGGCUUUGCUUGCGCAGGAUAGGUGGGAGGCUUUGAAGGUAUUCUUGCGGGGAUAUUGGAGCCAAUGGUGAGAUACCACUCUAGUAAGGCUAAAAUUCUAACUUUGAACCGUUAUCCGGUCAAAGAACAGUUUCAGGUGGGCAGUUUGACUGGGGCGGUCGCCUCCUAAAAGGUAACGGAGGCGUGCAAAGGUUCCCUCAGGCUGGUCGGACAUCAGUCGUAGAGUGUAAAGGCAUAAGGGAGCUUGACUGCGAGGCCUACAAGUCGAGCAGAGACGAAAGUCGGCCUUAGUGAUCCGACGGUUCCGAGUGGAAGGGCCGUCGCUCAACGGAUAAAAGUUACUCUAAGGAUAACAGGCUGAUCUCCCCCAAGAGUUCACAUCGACGGGGAGGUUUGGCACCUCGAUGUCGGCUCAUCGCAUCCUGGGGCGGUAGUACGUCCCAAGGGUUGGGCUGUUCGCCCAUGAAAGCGGUACGCGAGCUGGGUUCAGAACGUCGUGAGACAGUUCGGUCCAUAUCCGGUGCAGGCGUUAGAGUAUUGAGAGGAGUCCCCCUUAGUACGAGAGGACCGGGGGGAGUACACCGCUGGUGUACCAGUUAUCGUGCCAACGGUAAACGCUGGGUAGCCAAGUGUAGAGUGGAUAACUGCUGAAAGCAUCUAAGUAGGAAGCCCACCUCAAGAUGAGUACUCUCACCGCUAUAAGCGGUUAAGAUCUCGGCAAGAACAGCCGUUACAUAGGCACUAAGUGUAAGUACAGCAAUGUAUUCAGCUGAGGUGUACUAAUAGAUCGAGGGCUUGC
rnacentral:rRNA from 1 species